GCCUGGAUAGCUCAGUAGGUAGAGCUUCAGACUUUUAAUCCGAGGGUUCAGGGUUCAAGGCCCUAUUCGGGCG